UCCCGUUUCUGUUCUGUUGGUUUUUGGAAAACGAGAUAAUGAUCGAGAGGGACAGACGGGGGCAUUCGUAUUGCGGCGCUAGAGGUGAAAUUCUUGGACCGUCGCAAGACGAACUACUGCGAAAGCAUUUGCCAAGAAUGUUUUCAUUGAUCAAGAACGAAAGUCAGAGGUUCGAAGGCGAUCAGAUACCGCCCUAGUUCUGACCAUAAACGAUGCCAACCAGCAAUCCGCCUGAGUUACUCAAAUGACUCGGCGGGCAGCUUCCGGGAAACCAAAGUAUUUGGGUUCCGGGGGAAGUAUGGUUGCAAAGCUGAAACUUAAAGGAAUUGACGGAAGGGCACCACCAGGAGUGGAGCCUGCGGCUUAAUUUGACUCAACACGGGAAAACUUACCCGGCCCGGACACNGGAAGGAUUGACAGAUUGAGAGCUCUUUCUUGAUUCGGUGGAUGGUGGUGCAUGGCCGUUCUUAGUUGGNGGAGCGAUUUGUCUGGNUAAUUCCGAUAACGAACGAGACUCCAGCCUA
rnacentral:rRNA from 1 species